rnacentral:tRNA from 1 species
GGUGUUGUAGCUCAGCAGAAGAGCACCUGCUUAGCAUGCACGAGGUCCUGGGUUCAAUCCCCGGUACCUCCG